AAAAAUAAAUAGAGCAUUUUGAAACAAAUAAAAUUAAUCAGUUUAAGGGAUGUACACAAUUAUUUUAAAUCAGUCUGAACUAAAUCCAUACAACCUUAAAAGAGCUCAAUUCAUUUGUGUCGAAACAACAAAAAAUAAUGAUUCGAGUCAAACUACUACUUUUGCGCAUGCGCUGAUGACAGGAAAUCCACGUGACCUCGUCAGUUAUCGCGGGCGCCAUUACGUGGUGGAGUCCAGUCUAUGGUGGAAUGCUGUAGAAUUGGUUUUUACAAGAGCUCAUUAAAUUGCAUCCUAUACUUGGGUUAUAGUAUACUUUUUCACAUGGUUUACAAGAGCAAUAAACAGCAUCCCAUGCUUGGGUUUUAGUAAACUUUUUCAUGUGAACAACAGCGUAGACAUGGAAAGAGAAUGCAUCCUCAAAGAACUGUGUAUACUUAAAGGAGGACCAUCUACAGCUGUUCAAGGAGUACAAUGAUUGCGACUGGAUGAAUGCUAAAGAAGCAAUAGAGCAGAUGGAAAUGGGGAUCUACAUCAUCCAGUCAGUAGACACCAACCAGGAGAUAAACCUGUGGACGUUGGUAUCCUGAUUGAAGGGACCGAGGUUCUCUGCUCUUUGAAGAUCGUGUUGGAGUGGCCAUGCUGUUUGGACUUACUUACGCCUUGAACCUCAGCUACCCACGAGAACUCAAGGCUACAUUUGAGGUCAUCCAGAAAGUGUUCUUUAUCUUGGAUGGACAAAAACUUUCACUAAAGGUACAAGCCCUCAAGAACAAGAUGUUGGAGUAAGUUACCUUACGUGUGUAUUCUCAAAAGACUAAAUCUUGACUCAAGAAGGUAUUAGCUGUGCAUAUACAUUGAAAUAUAAUGUUGUUCAUCUUGGAUGAUAUUUUUUUGUAUUUUUUCACCUGAAAAUUUGCCUUGAAAUAAGAAUAAAGAGAAACUUGUGACAUUCACUUUGAGAACAUUUUAUUUGUGCAGUAAAUUACAUUUUGAUAGACAUGUCAACAAUUAAACAUUUGUUUGAUGUAAAUAAAGUUGUACAAUUAACUUAACGAUAGUAGUUGACACAAUAUUUCUGGUUUUCUAAAUUAAGUGAUUAAGAUUAAUUGGCUCAACAAGAUUAAAUAGUUUAUAGAUAAAUACGAUAAUAUGAUUCAAAUGAAAAUGAUUUGAUCUUGUUGGUUCAAAAUGAAUUUUGCUCUUGGGUUCCAUUUGCCUAAAUUAAGUUGAGACAACACCAUUCAAAUGUGUGGAAAUAGGUGUCAUAAUUAUAUUAAGUUAGACCAACGAUUUAUUUUUUU